rnacentral:rRNA from 1 species
ACAAGCAGCGGAGUCGUGUGGUUAAUUCGAUGUUACACGAAGAACCUUACCAGGGUUUGACAUGCAAGUGGUAGGAAGCCGAAAGGUGACCGACCCUUCGGGAGCUUGCACAGGUGCUGCAUGGCUGUCGUCAGCUCGUGUCGUGAGAUGUUCGGUUAAGUCCGCUAACGAGCGCAACCCUCGCUGUGUGUUAUAUGUGUCACACGGGACUGCCGGUCUUAAGCCGGAGGAAGGUGGGAUGACGUCAAAUCAUCAUGCCCCUUAUGUUCUGGGCUACACACGUGCUACAAUGGCCGGUACAGACGGACGCAAAGCCGCGAGGUGGAGCAAAUCCUAAAAAGCCGGUCUCAGUUCGGAUUGCAGGCUGCAAUUCGCCUGCAUGAAGUCGGAAUCGCUAGUAAUCGCAGGUCAGCAUACUGCGGUGAAUACGUUCCCGGGCCUU